rnacentral:lncRNA from 1 species
GUCUUUAAAUUCUCGCUCCCCAGCCAAAACCUAAACAAAGAUUCGGGUUACAUCUCUUUCAGCGGCGCACGGAGGGAAAGCGGAGGUCUCCCGGAUUCCCGGGUCUUAGGUCUCCCUAAAUGCACACCAAUGAUUCUCUCUACAUUUUCGAAAGGUUUUCCUGUUAAGAUAAUGAAGGGACAAACGAACGACUAGAUUUGAUUUGCGACUAGAUUUGAAAUCAAGGAUACAAGAAAAACGAAAAGGCUUCCGGGCUUAGAGAAGGAGGACGUCAGACUGGAGUCUAAAGGACUGGUCUGGCGUCCGCCCUGCUCCUGGCGCCCCGGCGGGACUGCGACCUCACCAGCGGCAUAAUUGCCUGUGUCCAGCGCGCUCCAGGGGCUGCCCCGUGGUGGGAAAAUAAAUCGGCCGUGCCUUGUUGGUGCCUUCCCAUUGGACUGAAAUUUCUAGAAGCCACUGUUCAUCAAAUGAAAACCAGAAAGGAAGGCCCACUAGGAGGUUGGCCAACACCCUGGAUUUCCUGGCUCUCUCCAAGGAUUGAAUGGGGUAGGAAAGAAAACUACGUCUGUUCCGGGGCUGUGCGGCUCGCAGGCAAGUUCGGAGGCACUAUAUGUGUCCUGCUAAAACCUUGGGGUGGGGUGCAGGAAAGGGUCUGGAGCCCGUCGCGCCAGGCCUUAGUCUAGGACCGGAGAAAGAGAGAAUCUACCCGAUACUCAGAGCUUCCACCUUGGCGAAGAGCUGCCUAAUUGGACGGCGAGCUGCUGCGAAAUUUGCGGUCUUCUAAUAACCCUUCUUCUCCUCCUUGGCGAUUACUAUCAAAGGUAUAAAACUGUUUUUUUUUUUUUUGUUUGUUUGUUUUUUUUUCACACCCGGCUCGCGGGGCAGGAGCCGUUUAUGAACAUCAAGCAUCAAUGGGGCGGGAAAAGGCUGCAUUGACAGAGGUCUCUGGAGUUCGAUAUUUAAAAGCAAUAGAUCCGAAUUAGAAAAUUGUUACCUGAAGUAUUCAAAGUCCCCGCCAAUUUACCUAUUGAACUCUGCGCGUCUGAGCUCCUGUGCUAACUACUCUUUUGAAGGAAUUUAUCCCGGAACUUGAGCAAAAGGCAGGUCAUACACUGGUUCUCAGCUUCUAACGUUGCCCUCUCUGGAGCUGCGUUCCUCCAGAGGGCUGGCAAGGACUCACAAAAUCCUAGUCUAGACAUGGCUGAAACAUGGGGAGAAGCCUAAGCGAAGUAGCUACAAUUGCCUGACCAAAGUCUAGCUUGGCUGAGCAGCACUUUCUCCAACCCAAGACCGGAGAGAUUCACUUCCUAGCACAGUCGACCCAAGAAUUAUGUGUGGUAAUGUAACCCAAGGAUUAUCUGCUGCGCUAGGGUAAUGUGUGACCUUGGCUCCCAAGAAGGAACUGUCAAUGUCCCUGAUGUGAAUGCUCAGUUAUGAUCACCCUGAAACUGCAAGCGGGACACUUGGUUGUUGGUGGGUGUCUUUGGAUUGUUGCCCACUUCCUGUGCUCAUCGGAGUCUGGAAAGUGGAGAAAAGAGAACUUCCAGAGGUUUUGUUUUGUUUUAUUGCUAAAAGCGCGAGACUAGGAAUCUGCAUCUGCACAGAGUGUGAAACUUGCUAACUUUGGGACUUAAACUGGAUCCAGUCUCAGGGUGAAAACAGAGGUGAGAUUAUUCUGGAAAGAGAAGGUCGCCAAGAAGGUGGAUCCCUGAACACCUCAUCUGCUAUUUUCUGCUAGUUGAGUCU